rnacentral:rRNA from 1 species
GGGGGAAUUUUGGACAAUGGGCGAAAGCCUGAUCCAGCCAUUCCGCGUGCAGGAUGAAGGCCCUCGGGUUGUAAACUGCUUUUGUACGGAACGAAAAGGUUUCCUCUAAUACAGGGAGCUCAUGACGGUACCGUAAGAAUAAGCACCGGCUAACUACGUGCCAACAGCCGCGGUAAUACGUAGGGUGCAAGCGUUAAUCGGAAUUACUGGGCGUAAAGCGUGCGCAGGCGGUGAUGUAAGACAGUUGUGA